UGCAAGUCGAACGAUGAAGCCAGCUUGCUGGGUGGAUUAGUGGCGAACGGGUGAGUAACACGUGAGCAACCUGCCCCUGACUCUGGGAUAAGCGCUGGAAACGGCGUCUAAUACUGGAUAUGAGCCUUCCACGCAUGUGGGGGGUUGGAAAGAUUUUUUGGUUGGGGAUGGGCUCGCGGCCUAUCAGCUUGUUGGUGAGGUAAUGGCUCACCAAGGCGUCGACGGGUAGCCGGCCUGAGAGGGUGACCGGCCACACUGGGACUGAGACACGGCCCAGACUCCUACGGGAGGCAGCAGUGGGGAAUAUUGCACAAUGGGCGGAAGCCUGAUGCAGCAACGCCGCGUGAGGGAUGACGGCCUUCGGGUUGUAAACCUCUUUUAGCAAGGAAGAAGCGAAAGUGACGGUACUUGCAGAAAAAGCGCCGGCUAACUACGUGCCAGCAGCCGCGGUAAUACGUAGGGCGCAAGCGUUAUCCGGAAUUAUUGGGCGUAAAGAGCUCGUAGGCGGUUUGUCGCGUCUGCUGUGAAAUCCCGAGGCUCAACCUCGGGCCUGCAGUGGGUACGGGCAGACUAGAGUGCGGUAGGGGAGAUUGGAAUUCCUGGUGUAGCGGUGGAAUGCGCAGAUAUCAGGAGGAACACCGAUGGCGAAGGCAGAUCUCUGGGCCGUAACUGACGCUGAGGAGCGAAAGGGUGGGGAGCAAACAGGCUUAGAUACCCUGGUAGUCCACCCCGUAAACGUUGGGAACUAGUUGUGGGGUCCUUUCCACGGAUUCCGUGACGCAGCUAACGCAUUAAGUUCC
rnacentral:rRNA from 1 species